rnacentral:sRNA from 1 species
GUCUUUAUCUUCUUUU